rnacentral:rRNA from 1 species
GAGACAGCAGUAGCCACGGUAAUACAGAGGGUGCGAGCGUUAAUCGGAUUUACUGGGCGUAAAGCGUGCGUAGGCGGCUUCUUAAGUCGGAUGUGAAAUCCCUGAGCUUAACUUAGGAAUUGCAUUCGAUACUGGGAAGCUAGAGUAUGGGAGAGGAUGGUAGAAUUCCAGGUGUAGCGGUGAAAUGCGUAGAGAUCUGGAGGAAUACCGAUGGCGAAGGCAGCCAUCUGGCCUAAUACUGACGCUGAGGUACGAAAGCAUGGGGAGCAAGCAGGAUUAGAUACCCCUGUAGUCCCUGUCUCUUAUAC